rnacentral:rRNA from 1 species
GAUGAACGCUGGCUACAGGCUUAACACAUGCAAGUCGAGGGGAAACGACGGGGAAGCUUGCUUCCCCGGGCGUCGACCGGCGCACGGGUGAGUAACGCGUAUCCAACCUGCCUCUGACUGAGGGAUAACCCGUCGAAAGUCGGCCUAAUACCUCAUGGCAUCGUCUGCGGGCAUCCAACGACGAUUAAAGAUUUCAUCGGUCAGAGAUGGGGAUGCGUCUGAUUAGCUUGUUGGCGGGGUAACGGCCCACCAAGGCGACGAUCAGUAGGGGUUCUGAGAGGAAGUUCCCCCACAUUGGAACUGAGACACGGUCCAAACUCCUACGGGAGGCAGCAGUGAGGAAUAUUGAUCAAUGGGCGAGAGCCUGAACCAGCCAAGUAGCGUGCAGGAUGACGGCCCUAUGGGUUGUAAACUGCUUUUAUGCGGGGAUAAAGUGAGGGACGUGUCCUUCAUUGCAGGUACCGCAUGAAUAAGGACCGGCUAAUUCCGUG